rnacentral:RNase_P_RNA from 1 species
UGGUGGUGACAUCAGGAGCGUGGUAAACCCCAUCCGGAGCAAGACCAAAUUGGCCCUUUUUGAGAUGGCCCGUCUUAUGGGGCGGGUAGGUCGCUCAUCCCCUUGGGCAAUCAAGGGGUUAGACAAAUAACCGCCCUCGCUAAGCUUUUAGCGGGAACAGAAUUCGGCUUACGUCCUGCUCCAGCCU